rnacentral:rRNA from 1 species
UACAGAGGGUGCGAGCGUUAAUCGGAAUUCUGGGCGUAAAGCGUGCGUAGACGGCUAUCUAAGUCGGGUGUGAAAGCCCCGGGCUCAACCUGGGAAUUGCAUUCGAGACUGAAUAGCUAGGGUACGGUAGAGGGAAGUGGAAUUUCCGGUGUAGCGGUGAAAUGCGUAGAUAUCGGAAGGAACAUCAGUGGCGAAAGCGACUUCCUGGACCAGUACCGACGUUCAGGCACGAAAGCGUGGGGAGCAAACAGG